rnacentral:rRNA from 1 species
AUUGAACGCUGGCGGCAUGCUUUACACAUGCAAGUCGAACGGUAACAGGCCUUCGGGUGCUGACGAGUGGCGAACGGGUGAGUAAUGCAUCGGAACGUGCCCAGAGGUGGGGGAUAACGCAGCGAAAGCUGUGCUAAUACCGCAUGUGAUCUGAGGAUGAAAGCGGGGGACCAGGCAGCAAUGUUUGGCCUCGCGCCUUUGGAGCGGCCGAUGUCAGAUUAGGUAGUUGGUGGGGUAAAGGCCUACCAAGCCGACGAUCUGUAGCUGGUCUGAGAGGACGACCAGCCACACUGGGACUGAGACACGGCCCAGACUCCUACGGGAGGCAGCAGUGGGGAAUUUUGGACAAUGGGCGUAAGCCUGAUCCAGCAAUGCCGCGUGCGGGAAGAAGGCCUUCGGGUUGUAAACCGCUUUUGUACGGAACGAAAAGGCUCUGGCUAAUACCUGGGGCUGAUGACGGUACCGGAAGAAUAAGCACCGGCUAACUACGUG